UGGGGAAUAUUGGACAAUGGGCGGAAGCCUGAUCCAGCAAUGCCGCGUGUGUGAAGAAGGCCUGCGGGUUGUAAAGCACUUUAAGCAGGAAAGAAGGGUGGAGUGAUAAUACCGCUUCGCAUUGACGUUACCUGCAGAAUAAGCACCGGCUAACUCCGUGCCAGCAGCCGCGGUAAUACGGAGGGUGCGAGCGUUAAUCGGAAUUACUGGGCGUAAAGCGCGCGUAGGCGGUUGGAUGAGUCCGUCGUGAAAGCCCUGGGCUUAACCUGGGAACUGCGGUGGAUACUGUCUGGCUAGAGUGUGGUAGAGGGGAGUGGAAUUUCCGGUGUAGCAGUGAAAUGCGUAGAGAUCGGAAGGAACACCAGUGGCGAAGGCGGCUCCCUGGACCAACACUGACGCUGAGGUGCGAAAGCGUGGGGAGCAAACA
rnacentral:rRNA from 1 species